rnacentral:rRNA from 1 species
GUGCCAGCCGCCGCGGUAAUACGGAGGGUGCAAGCGUUAUCCGGAUUCAUUGGGUUUAAAGGGUGCGCAGGCGGAUACUUAAGUCAGUGGUGAAAUCCCGGGGCUCAACCCCGGAACUGCCAUUGAUACUGAAUAUCUGGAAUACGGUUGAAGUGGGCGGAAUGUAGCAUGUAGCGGUGAAAUGCGUAGAGAUGCUACAGAACACCGAUCGCGAAGGCAGCUCACUAAGCCGAUAUUGACGCUCAGGCACGAAAGCGUGGGGAGCGAACAGGAUUAGAUACCCUGGUAGUCCACGCCGUAAACGAUGAUAACUCGUUGUUGGCGACACACAGUCAGCGACUAAGCGAAAGCGAUAAGUUAUCCACCUGGGGAGUACGAUCGCAAGGUUGAAACUCAAAUGAAUUGGCGG